rnacentral:rRNA from 1 species
CCUACGGGAGGCAGCAGUGGGGAAUAUUGCGCAAUGGGCGAAAGCCUGACGCAGCGACGCCGCGUGAUGGAUGAAGGUCUUCGGAUCGUAAACCUCUGUCAGCAGGGAAGAACGGUCACUGUGCUAAUCAGCAGUGAAUUGACGGUACCUGCAAAGGAAGCACCGGCUAACUCCGUGCCAGUAGCCGCGGUAAUACGGAGGGUGCGAGCGUUAAUCGGAAUUACUGGGCGUAAAGCGCUCGUAGGCGGUAUGUCAAGUCAAGGGGGAAAUCCCCGCGCUCAACGUGGGAACUGCCUUUGAAACUGGCAAACUGGAGUGUGUGAGAGGAUAGUGGAAUUCCAGGUGUAGGAGUGAAAUCCGUAGAUAUCUGGAGGAACAUCAGUGGCGAAGGCGACUAUCUGGCACAUAACUGACGCUGAGGAGCGAAAGCGUGGGUAGCAAACAGGAUUAGAUACCCGAGUAGUC